rnacentral:rRNA from 46 species
AGAGUUUGAUCCUGGCUCAGGAUGAACGCUGGCGGCGUGCCUAAUACAUGCAAGUCGAGCGAACGGACGAGAAGCUUGCUUCUCUGAUGUUAGCGGCGGACGGGUGAGUAACACGUGGAUAACCUACCUAUAAGACUGGGAUAACUUCGGGAAACCGGAGCUAAUACCGGAUAAUAUUUUGAACCGCAUGGUUCAAAAGUGAAAGACGGUCUUGCUGUCACUUAUAGAUGGAUCCGCGCUGCAUUAGCUAGUUGGUAAGGUAACGGCUUACCAAGGCAACGAUGCAUAGCCGACCUGAGAGGGUGAUCGGCCACACUGGAACUGAGACACGGUCCAGACUCCUACGGGAGGCAGCAGUAGGGAAUCUUCCGCAAUGGGCGAAAGCCUGACGGAGCAACGCCGCGUGAGUGAUGAAGGUCUUCGGAUCGUAAAACUCUGUUAUUAGGGAAGAACAUAUGUGUAAGUAACUGUGCACAUCUUGACGGUACCUAAUCAGAAAGCCACGGCUAACUACGUGCCAGCAGCCGCGGUAAUACGUAGGUGGCAAGCGUUAUCCGGAAUUAUUGGGCGUAAAGCGCGCGUAGGCGGUUUUUUAAGUCUGAUGUGAAAGCCCACGGCUCAACCGUGGAGGGUCAUUGGAAACUGGAAAACUUGAGUGCAGAAGAGGAAAGUGGAAUUCCAUGUGUAGCGGUGAAAUGCGCAGAGAUAUGGAGGAACACCAGUGGCGAAGGCGACUUUCUGGUCUGUAACUGACGCUGAUGUGCGAAAGCGUGGGGAUCAAACAGGAUUAGAUACCCUGGUAGUCCACGCCGUAAACGAUGAGUGCUAAGUGUUAGGGGGUUUCCGCCCCUUAGUGCUGCAGCUAACGCAUUAAGCACUCCGCCUGGGGAGUACGACCGCAAGGUUGAAACUCAAAGGAAUUGACGGGGACCCGCACAAGCGGUGGAGCAUGUGGUUUAAUUCGAAGCAACGCGAAGAACCUUACCAAAUCUUGACAUCCUUUGACAACUCUAGAGAUAGAGCUUUCCCCUUCGGGGGACAAAGUGACAGGUGGUGCAUGGUUGUCGUCAGCUCGUGUCGUGAGAUGUUGGGUUAAGUCCCGCAACGAGCGCAACCCUUAAGCUUAGUUGCCAUCAUUAAGUUGGGCACUCUAAGUUGACUGCCGGUGACAAACCGGAGGAAGGUGGGGAUGACGUCAAAUCAUCAUGCCCCUUAUGAUUUGGGCUACACACGUGCUACAAUGGACAAUACAAAGGGCAGCGAAACCGCGAGGUCAAGCAAAUCCCAUAAAGUUGUUCUCAGUUCGGAUUGUAGUCUGCAACUCGACUACAUGAAGCUGGAAUCGCUAGUAAUCGUAGAUCAGCAUGCUACGGUGAAUACGUUCCCGGGUCUUGUACACACCGCCCGUCACACCACGAGAGUUUGUAACACCCGAAGCCGGUGGAGUAACCUUUUAGGAGCUAGCCGUCGAAGGUGGGACAAAUGAUUGGGGUGAAGUCGUAACAAGGUAGCCGUAUCGGAAGGUGCGGCUGGAUCACCU